UGCAAAUAUCCUGGAUGCACUCGUCAACAAGCUCCUAUUAUUAAGUAUCCGUGACUUUGUUGCUUGUAUUUUGUUGAUUUUUCAAGCUACCCUCGUUUAUUUGGCUCUCUGAAAGUUGCAAUUUGAAUUUGGUUGCUGCCUUGUGGCCAUCGAUUUUAUCUUAGCUAAUUUGCUUCCUUCACGUUCUGUCCGAGAGUGCAAGGGCUGAUUUUGUCACCUACGAGGGAUUUGGCAAGUCCGUUAUCACAGGAACGUGCUAGCCCACGCAUGCGUUGGAGGCAAGAACACGGAGAUUGGAGCACGGAGUUCAUGUUGUGUCUGGAAAUCCGGGCAGGGUGCUUGACAUGAUAAAGAGGAGAACUCUUCGCACCAAAGCCAUCAAACUCCUAGUCCUUGACGAAGCUGAUGAGUUGCUGAGCUGAGGAUUUAAGGAUCAAAUCUACGAUGUUUACAGAUUCCUUCCUCCGGAGAUUCAGGGAGUUGCUCUUACACGUUCAUGUACGCAACUGGCUAAGGCAGGAGUGGCAUUCUCUGCUGGUUGUCUUAGUUUCAGCGACCCUCCCCACUGAGAUAUUAGAGAUGACAGGAAGAUUCAUCACUGAUCCCGUAAGGAUUGUUGUGAAGCGCGAUGAGUUGAUG